GAUGAACGCUGGCGGCGUGCCUAAUACAUGCGAGUCGAGCGAACAGACGAGAGUGCUUGCUCUCUCUGACGUUAGCGGCGGACGGGUGAGUAACACGUGGGUCACCUACCUAUAAGACUGGGAUAACUUCGGGAAACCGGAGCUAAUACCGGAUAAUAUUUAGCUUCGCAUGAAGCAAUAGUGAAAGACGGUUCUGCUGUCACUUAUAGAUUGACCCGGGGUGUAUUAGCUAGUUGGUGAGGUAACGGCUCACCAAGGCGACGAUACAUAACCGGUCUGAGAGGAUGAUAGGUCAAAAUGGAACUGAGACAAGGUCCAGACUCAUACGGGAGGCAGCAGUGGGGAAUAUUGGACAAUGGGCGAAAGACUGAUGCAGCCAUGCCGCGUGAGUGAAGAAGGUCUUCGGAUUGUAAAGCACUUUUAUUUGGGAAGAACGGAAGUGAGUUAAUAUCUGGCUAUCUUGACGUUACCAAAAGAAUAAGCACCGGCUAACUUCGUG
rnacentral:rRNA from 1 species